rnacentral:lncRNA from 10 species
AGUUCAAAAUCUACAGUCCAACGUCUCUAAGACCAGCUGCCUCCUGAGGCAAGAGCUGCAAGAGGGUGAGGGAAGCUGAUGUGGAGCUGGUGGGAUAUGCCAGAUACUUCUCACAUUGCUCUCCACCCGGGACAGAUUGCUGUGAUAGUUGUCAUAAGGUAAAGGUGUUUGAAGAGAGAAAAAACUACAAUGGAAUGAAAGCACAGUGGACCACGGAUGUUAGAGCUGCAACCAGAGAUGGAGAUAAGAAACUAACCUACAUCUGAUGAACGAUGUGUCAGUAAGCCACUCACUUUGUAAGUUUCUGAGUUGCAGACAUGGGUCAGAGAAGAAGGUGAUUCACCCAGGCUGGGAUAUUCAGGGAGAAUUUAUCUGAAAGACAAAUACACCAGUGGUUCAGAAUAGAAAGCCAAAAAAUAAGGCCACACACCUACAACCAUCUGGUAUUCAACAAAGCUGACAAAAACAAGCAAUGGAGAAAAGACUCCUAGUCAAUACAUGGUGCUAGGAUAACUGGUCAGCCAUAUGCAGAAGAUUGAAACUAGACUCCUUCCUUACACCAUAUACAAAAAUCAACUUAAGAUGGAUCAAAGACUUAAAUGUAAAACCCAAAAUUAUAAAAACCCUGGAAGACGACUGAGGCAAUACCAUUCCAGACAUAGAAAUGGACAAAGAUUUUAUGACAAAGACACCAAAAUCAAUUGCAAAAAUGACAAAUGGGAUCUAAUUAAACUAAAGAGCUUCUGCACAGCAAAAUAAACUAUCAAUACAGUAAACAGACAACCUACAGGAUGGGAGAAAAUCUUUGCAAACUAUGCAUCUGACAAAAAUCUAAUAAUAUCCAGCAUCUAUAAGGAACUUAAGCAAAUCUACAAGAAAAAAAACAAACAAACAACCCAAUUAAAAAGCAAGCAAAGGACAUGAACAGACACUUUUCAAAAGAAGAGGUGCAUGCAGUCAAUAAGCAUAUUUUUAAAAAGCCCAACAUCCCACUGAUCAUUAGAGAAAUUCAUAUCAAAACCGCAGUAAGGUAUCAUCUCAAACCAGUCAGAAUGGCUGUCAUUAAAAAGUCAAAAAAUAGCAGGUGUUGUAAGGUUGCAGAGGAAAAGGAAUGCUUAUACAUUGUUGACGUGAGUGUAAAUUAGUUCAACUGCUGUUGGAGACAGUGUGGCUAUUCCUAAAAGACCUAAGGACCAAAAUACCAUUCAACACAGCAAUCCGUUACUGGGUAUAUACCCAAAAUAAUAUAAAUCGUUCUCUCGUAAAGACACAUGCACACAUAUGUUUAUUGCAGCACUACUCACAAUAGCAAAAACAUGGAAUCAACCUAAAUGCUCAUCAAAGAGAGACUGGAUAAAGAAAAUGUGAUACAGGUAUACCAUAGAAUACUAUGCAGCCAUAAAAAAGAGUGAGAUCAUGUCCUUUGCAGGAACAUAAAUGGAGCUGGAGGCCAUUAUCUUUAGCAAAGUAAGACAAGAAAAGAAAACCAAACACUGCAUGUUGUCAUUUGUAAGUGGCAGGUAAAUAAUGAGAACACAUGGACACAUAGAGAGGACAACAGACACAGGGACGUACCAGAGGGUGGGGAAUAGAAGGAGUGAGAGGACCAGGGAAAAUGACUAAUGGGUACUAGGCUUAAUACCUGGGUGACAAAAUAAUCUGUACAACAAAUCCCCAUGACAUAAGUUUACCUGUAUAACAAACCCGCACAUGUACCCCUGAACUUCAAAUAAAAGUUAAAUAAAAAUGCACGGCUUUUGAGAAAACAUUAUUAGUACAGUAAAUGUGUCUGUUUAUCCUACUACAGGAAAGCCUAUAGUUGUGGCUACCCACUUUGAGAUAAGGUCUAACAGGAGGAAAAUGAGAGUACCUUCAUACUACUGGUGCAAACAUUAUUUUUUCCACUGGCAGUGGUCUGAGAACAUAGGCCUUCUAGUGCACUAAUAUUCUUCUCAUCACCACUAGCAACUC